GGAAAUGUGGCUUAGUGGUAGAGUGCAUGCCUAGUAUGCAUGAAGCCAUGGAUUUGAUUUCUCAGUACCA
rnacentral:tRNA from 1 species